rnacentral:rRNA from 1 species
UACGUAGGGUGCGAGCGUUGUCCGGAAUUAUUGGGCGUAAAGGGCUCGUAGGCGGUUUGUCGCGUCGGGAGUGAAAUCCACUGGCUUAACUGGUGGCUUGCUUUCGAUACGGGCAGACUGGAGGUAUGCAGGGGAGAACGGAAUUCCUGGUGUAGCGGUGAAAUGCGCAGAUAUCAGGAAGAACACCGAUGGCGAAGGCAGUUCUCUGGGACGGUACUGACGCUGAGACGCGAAAGCGUGGGGAGCGAACAGG